GCACGCGAUAGAAGAGAGAUGAAUACUUUCCACAUUUUUAAAUCUCUUGUUCAGUGGAGCCGUGUGAUAACGCCAAAAUACAAUAUUUGUUUCAUAAAGCUUGUGGUAAAAGAAUAUCUGAUAUAUCUAGUAAGAUUAGGAAAAAGGCGACAAAGCCGAAUUGGAUGGUUGAAAAUGUUUAAGCGUAAAUUCUUGAUGGGUGGCAAAUGCAAGAAUUCAAAAAGUUCUCUCAACAAAAUAAGACUAAUCGAGAAUCAACCAGAGGGAGGGGGUCCAUACCACGGGACAUAGAGCUCAUCAUGAUGUUGCUAUAGAAUUGGAGAAGAAGUUAGGCAGACCACUAAAUCCGGACGAGCUCCUCAUGGCUAACCCCAAAAAGAAGAAUAGACACUGGGUUGACCAUCGUGCAGAGAAAACACAUGUAAGGCCUUUCUUGAUUUUGUCCUUAAAAUAAUGUGAAAUUGGUUAACAAUAUUAGUAGGAAAUAGAUAAACAAUAUUUUUCAUCUGUUCAGUUUGAAUUACAGUGAUUUUUGAGAUUCAAUUAGAUGAAUAUUGAUAUGGAAAAACUCCGUAACUGAAAUCUCUGAAAAAAAGUCCAAGCCAUUUUUAUUUAGAAGCUCAUAAUGGUUUGUUUUUUGGAUUUAUAUUUAGGAUAGGAUAACUAGUAGUAUUUAUGAAAGGUGGUCUUGCAUAUAAAAUAAAGUUCCUGAUGUAUUGUAACUAGGUGGUACCAUAUGUUGUGAAUUAGAAGCAGGGGUCUCAACAUACUUGUUGUA